UCAUCCGGCAGAGGGCUGCUUGGCAGCGAGGGUGAACUUCCACUGCGGUGAUGGAUCGUCUUGAGCCUGGAAAAUGUUGUCUUGAAGUCUUGUCUGAGCAACGCAAGGUCAAGGUGUGCUGCUCUAGUCUCUGUACAUCCCUGCUGUUCUUGAAAAGAGGAAAAGCAAGCAAAACCCUCAUUCUCAUUCUUCGAAGUGUGUACAAAACAGAUUCUGGUGGAGCGGGAACAGAAACAGGCAGAGUUGACGCCACCUCCACCAUCCCGGCACUCCCCUAAAGCUGACGUCCUACAGCUACGACUUCAGACGGUGAAUUUCCUGUCCUCGAGGCCACUAUGAUGUGAGCUGCUCUCCCCGCCAUUGUGGAUGCAAACCUCUAAAACUGCGAAUCUAGAGACAUCAUUCCCCUCCUAAGUGUUUGUGGCAAGUAUUUUGACACAGAGAUGAAAAGUCUAACACAGAAAACUAGUACCCAGAAACGAGGAGAUUUUUUUGAUUAUCUGAUAAUGUGGUUCAGAAGCUUUCAGAGCUGGUUUGUAGGAAGAUUUAGAAGAGUUUGCAGAUGCAGGGCAGAGGCAGUUGUGGGAUGCUAUAAACAGUUAAGGGGCAAUUCCACUGGGAAUUCCAAAGACCAGAUGCCAAUUGGAGUGUGGGGAGAAAAUAUUGAGUUCCUGUGGUUUCAGAUGGAUCAAGGGCCUGCUGAGAAUGGACUUGAGACCCUGCAUCUUACAUCAUUGCAAAGAACUUGUCUAGAGUCUAUCCACGGACAAGACUUUGGGGAAAGGUUGGGUUUAAAGAUAACAAACUAAUCUGUCAGAGGAAGUUCCGAGGCAGCCCAGCAUCCACACUGUGGCCUUGUUAUUGCUAGCUGCGUUUUGCCAGGUUCACAGUAGGAGCUGGGAACAAAAUGAGAGUAGAAAGGUUUUAAAAACUUGCAGUUUGGCCAGAAAAGAAAAUCAUGCAAAAUUGGGACCAAGGGAGGUGUGAUGGCAGAAAAGCCUUUUCCCACUAAAAAGAAGUCAUUAUUUUUCACUAACACAGUGAGAACAAUCCCUUGAAGGCAUUUUAGGGAUCAGCUGGGUCCCAUCUUUCACAGAUUAUGGUUGCAAAGGAAUAAACUCAUUGGAAAGACUGUUCUGAGAAGAGGGCUCUGAGAUGCCAUGCAAGUAAGUAUUUCUUUAGCCAUCCAGGCACACAGAGGUCUCUCUAGCCAUAGUCCAAGAAAGUCCAGGUAUUGUUUGAGCUGGCUGCAUACCUUGGGAUUGUUCACAUGAUGCUGGUUUUGUUUGCUUGAAAAAUACAAGAGCUACAGGGUCAUGUAUGCUUCCAGACAGAUAUCAAAGAAAGUCUUUAGAAGUUAGGAAAUGCUAUUCUGAAAAUAUUCCCCCACAUCCUAAGAGGCUGGAACUUUUGCUAGACCUCACAGCCAGAGUUAAUAAUACACCUUGAGGUCCCUCAUGACUUAAGGCUGCUGUCCUACUGUGUACUCAGGCUGUUUAACCUUCCUUUAAGGGAACAGUGCAACAAACUAAUCUUACUUUCCUUGGAUUUCUCAUGUAACCAACUUUUACAACCUAAGCUAAUGCAUAGCCACACUCUUAAAUUGUGUACUCUUCGCUGCCCUGAACCCAGAUUGCGUGUCUAUCACUUACUGCAAGCAGCAAAUACAGAUGUGGAAAGCAACUUCCUAAAACCUAUCACGAAGGUGAAAGCAACGAUUCAUGGUUAUUGAUUGAUAAACAAUGAUGUUUGCUAUUGAAAUCAACCAUGUAUAGAUAUUGGUUGAUACACAAUGACAUUUGUUUUCUGGGCUAGUCGGGACUAGUCGGAGCCAGUGACUUAAUCCCUUGUAAAACUGUCAAAGAUUUCUGUAAAGUCUCCCAUUCCUUCCCCAUGUGAUACUUUCUGUGCUGUUCAAUAAAUACCGAGCAAACCCUUUGUUAGGGACAGACACACACAACCACACAGACGCUCGUACAACAGAUACAGGGACAAACAGAUUCACAAGACAGCCUUCGGGUAGGCCCAGAGUCAGAGUCAUGCAACAGACAUGAAGACAGAAGGUGCAGGGAGCGCCAAGUAGGGAAUUCAUGUUUGUUCUUGGCUAAAUGACUCCAAGGGGAAGUGCUUUGCUUUCUUUCCUUAAUGCAACACUAGUGCAUUACCGGUGACUUGGACUUAAUCACUAAUGCGUUAUAAAAUAGGAUUAAAUAUAGUUAAAUAAUAUGUGUCGUAAAUGUUAUCUCUAAAGAUAAUGUAGUCAAAGUAGUAAGGAGAUAUUGUCAACAGUGAGAGCAAGUAUUGACUCGUGAGAUGUUUUACUUGAACAGGCUUAUGAGUGUCCCCACUCAGUGAUUUGUCUAACUUUAGUCAUGGUAACUUUCCCAGUUGGUUGGUUAGAUUUCACUAACACUCUCUCUUCCCCAUUGUGAAAUUACUCCUGGGAGGGAGCCACUGUGUAGACAGGAACCCUGAAGUCCAAGACUUUCUGACUAAUGCUGCCUUCUUUUUAGGUCUUUAAAUUUUGUGGUAAACACACACAAAAUAUAAUAUUUACUCUUUUAACUAUUUGUAAAUGUACAGGUCAGGGGGCAGUAAGCAUGAUUACGUUGCUGUGUCGAGGCCACCACUACCUUGUCCCCAGAACUUAGUCAUCAUUCCAGGCUGAACCUUGUUGACAUUAAGUAGUACCUCCACUCCAUGUUUCCCGGGGUGCUGGGAACUAUCCCCCAUCUGUCUCCAUAAACUUGACUGUUUCAGAUAUGCCUGAUAAAUCCCUCAGUACUUGCAGGAUUUGUCUUUUGUGUCUGAUUUCUUUCACUUAGAGUAAAGCCUGCAAGGCUCAUUGGUUGCAGUGGGUUUAAAUUUCUUUCAUUUUUAAGGCUUCGUAAUAGUGUAGUGUAUUAUUAGGCCAUUUACCCAUGGAUGGACCUUUCUGUGGGGCUGUUGUUUCCUAAGAAACCGGUGAAGUUUCUCCACCCUCUUUCACACGGUUCACAGGCCCUAGUAAACACCUGAAUAACAAGAAAGAAUAUACCUACACCCUGAAGUGGCUGUGGGGGCUGAUGGUUGAUGCACUUGCAUUGCUCUUUUGUGUAGGAGGCAAACCUUUGCUACGUUAAUUAACUAUUGGGAAUUGGACAUCUUGGGUUAUCUUCACAAUACAUCAGGCUUCCAUUCAAUGAGUGUCAUGAGUGCAAUGUGUCAGGUACCAACCCACCCCAAACAAUUCUAUUCAUCUCCCUCUUUCUCCUUCCUGCUUCUUUCUGCUUCUAGGAAACUAUGUCCUCUAAAAAUAAAAAUCAAGAAAGCAAAUAUAUAUAUAUUGAAAAACCUCUUCCUAGUCUCCCCCUUGUGAAGAGUAAGGAGUAAGAGUUAUUCCAGAACUUACUCUAAAGGAGCCCACCUGCUACUCUGAUUCCAUCAAGAUAAGAAUGUUUCUCAGUGUGAACCCAGACGGUGGCAUUCUUCACACCCAAGUCAUCGGAUCUCUGAGUGGGCAGAAGGUUUUGCUCGGCACCGUGCCCACCCAGUCUUGCCAGUCAAUAUUUAUAACACUUUCUUUUCUUCUCUUUACACAGUUACAGGUCAAGGGAACAGCAACAGCACCUUUUGUGUAGACAGUAGGAUUACUCCUAGGAGGAACUCAAUGUGGUGCAAAGCCACUGGUUUAUCAAAGCUGGAUAUCUGGCACCUUCUAAAGAAGCUUUUUAUUGAAUUUAUUUCAGGCCAACUAUUUGCCUUGGGUUGUUUACUGGAUUGUGUUUUCUUUCAAACCUGGCUGUACAGCUUAGAGUUUCGUCUUUAAAGACCCACGCUUGCUUGAUGCAUAGCAACCAUUGUGAAGUUGACAGCUAUCCCUAAUUUCUAAUAUGAGAUGAAAGACAUUGUUACAUACUCAAAGGAAGGUUGGGGACUGUUGUCUGCUAAGGUUCUCACUCAUUAGACAGAAAUCUAUUAGACAGGCUGAGCGUGGCUCCCUUGCUGUUAGCAGUGAGCCAUAAGUGCCCGAGGCCUUGAGCUGUUAGUGUUGCCCUGUGUUCUGAAUUCCCGCAGCCCAGCCCCCUCUGUGGUGUGGGGCUCCUCAGCAGCUCUGUGGAACUCUUCCAGAUACAGGGACUGCAGCUCCUUCAGAGUCAUUUGGCUCUCUGGUCACGCUCUCCCCUUUGCCUUUGUGGUUUCGGCUCCCUGCAGCUAUUUGCCACCCCCCCCCCACACACACACCUCCACCCCCUCCAUCCC